rnacentral:rRNA from 1 species
CUGGUGCCAGCAGCCGCGGUAAUUCCAGCUCCAAUAGCGUAUAUUAAAGUUGUUGCAGUUAAAAAGCUCGUAGUUGGAUCUCAGGUCCAGGCUUGCGGUCCACCUUGCGGUGGUUACUGCUCGUCCUGACCUACCUCCUGGUUUUCCCUUGGUGCUCUUGACUGAGUGUCUCGGGUGGCCAGAACGUUUACUUUGAAAAAAUUAGAGUGUUCAAAGCAGGCAAUUCGCCUGAAUAAUGGUGCAUGGAAUAAUGGAAUAGGACCUCGGUUCUAUUUUGUUGGUUUUCGGAACUUGAGGUAAUGAUUAAGAGGGACAGACGGGGGCAUUCGUAUUACGGUGUUAGAGGUGAAAUUCUUGGAUCGCCGUAAGACGAACUACUGCGAAAGCAUUUGCCAA